UAUUGCCGUGACGCCGGAGUGCUGUCCGUGGUAUUUAUCAGUGGAGAUCCGUUUAUUUCAGGAUUCCCUGGGCCGAUUUUAUCAGUGGGGAUCCGUUUAUUUCAGGAUUCCCCGGGCCGAUUCAGAGAUGGUUGUGGGUAUCUGUUCAGAGAUUGUCAGAUGAUGAUGAUGAUGUAUCUGUCUUCCGUUUAUUUCGGAACCCUUGAGUUGGAUUUGUGGUUACAUGUUCCCUCAGAUGAUUGUG
rnacentral:lncRNA from 1 species